CCCGUCUUGAAACACGAACCAAGGAGUGCAACACGCCCGCGAGUCUUUGGGUGGAAAACCCGCCGGCGAAAUGAAAGUGAAGGCACCAGUUCCGGUGCUGAGGCGAGAGCCGCGAAAGCGGCGCAUCGUCGACCGAUCCUAUCCACGCCGUGGCGGGAUUCGAGUCAGAGCGUGCUUGUUGCGACCCGAAAGAUGGUGAACUAUGCCUGAAUAGGGUGAAGCCAGAGGAAACUCUGGUGGAAGCUCGUAGCGAUUCUGACGUGCAAAUCGAUCGUCAAAUUUGGGUAUAGGGGCGAAAGACUAAUCGAACCAUCUAGUAGCUGGUUCCCUCCGAAGUUUCCCUCAGGAUAGCUGGAACCCGGAGCAGUUUUAUCAGGUAAAGCGAAUGAUUAGAGGUCUUGGGGUUGAAACAACCUCAACCUAUUCUCAAACUUUAAAUGGGUAAGAAGCCCGGCUUGCUUGACUUGAAGUCGGACAUGGAAUGCCGGGGUUCCUAGUGGGCCAUUUUUGGUAAGCAGAACUGGCGAUGCGGGAUGAACCGAACGCCGGGUUAAGGUGCCCGAAUCGGCGCUCAUCAGACACCAUGAAAGGNGNUGGNUGAU
rnacentral:rRNA from 1 species